GGAGGGGUAGCGAAACCGAUCGCAGAUUCGCGCAAAGCCUGGUCAAACGCGGCGGACUCAAGAUCCGCUCUCUUAGGGGUUCAUGGGUUCGAAUCCCAUCCCCUCCA
rnacentral:tRNA from 1 species